rnacentral:rRNA from 1 species
GUUGGUUUCUAGGACCGCCGUAAUGAUUAAUAGGGACAGUUGGGGGCAUCAGUAUUCCGCAGUUAGAGGUGAAAUUCUUGGAUCUGCGAAAGACUAACUGCUGCGAAAGCGUUUGUCAAAGAUGUUUUCAUUAAUCAGGAACGAAAGUCGGGGGAUCGAAGACGAUCAGAUACCGUCGUAGUCUUGACCAUAAACUAUGCCGACUAGGGAUCGGGCGAUGUUAUAUUUUGACUCGCUCGGCACCUUACGAGAAAUCAAAGUGCUUGGGCUCCAGGGGGAGUAUGGUCGCAAGGCUGAAACUUGAAGAAAUUGACGGAAGGGCACCACCAGGGGUGGAGCCUGCGGCUUAAUUUGACUCAACACGGGGAAACUCACCAGGUCCAGACACAAUGAGGAUUGACAGAUUGAGAGCUCUUUCUUGAUUUUGUGGGUGGUGGCGCAUGGCCGUUCUUAGUUGGUGGAGUGAUUUGUCAGAUUAAUUUCGAUAACGAACGAGACCUUCACUGUUAACUAGCCCGCAUUGCUUUGGCAGUGCGCUGGCUUCUUAGCGGGACUAUUGGCGCGAGCCAAUGGAAGUUGGAGGCGAUAACAGGUCUGUGAUGCCCUUAGAUGUUCUGGGCCGCACGCGCGCUACACUGACGGAGCCAGCGAGUACUUCCUUAACCGACAGGUUUGGGUAAUCUUGUUAAACUCCGUCGUGCUGGGGAUAGGGCAUUGCAAUAAUCGAAUUCCCGCGGCCUGUACAUAGCGGCCAGCGAGACUUAAGAUCACAUGAUACUUAG